rnacentral:rRNA from 1 species
GGAUCAUUACUGAGUUUACGCUCUAUAACCCUUUGUGAACAUACCUAUAACUGUUGCUUCGGCGGGUAGGGUCUCCGUGACCCUCCCGGCCUCCCGCCCCCGGGCGGGUCGGCGCCCGCCGGAGGAUAACCAAACUCUGAUUUAACGACGUUUCUUCUGAGUGGUACAAGCAAAUAAUCAAAACUUUUAACAACGGAUCUCUUGGUUCUGGCAUCGAUGAAGAACGCAGCGAAAUGCGAUAAGUAAUGUGAAUUGCAGAAUUCAGUGAAUCAUCGAAUCUUUGAACGCACAUUGCGCCCGCCAGCAUUCUGGCGGGCAUGCCUGUUCGAGCGUCAUUUCAACCCUCAAGCUCUGCUUGGUGUUGGGGCCCUACAGCUGAUGUAGGCCCUCAAAGGUAGUGGCGGACCCUCCCGGAGCCUCCUUUGCGUAGUAACUUUACGUCUCGCACUGGGAUCCGGAGGGACUCUUGCCGUAAAACCCCCAAUUUUCCAAAGGUUGACCUCGGAUCAGGUAGGAAUACCCGCUGAACUUAAGCA